AUGAACGCUAGCGGCAGGCCUAACACAUGCAAGUCGAGGGGCAGCACGUUAAAGAGUUUACUCUUUAUGGUGGCGACCGGCGGACGGGUGCGUAACGCGUAUGCAACCUGCCUGACACAGGGGGAUAAUCCGAAGAAAUUUGGUCUAAUACCCCAUAAUACCGAUAUAGGCAUCUAUGUUGGUUGAAAGCUUUGGUGGUGUCAGAUGGGCAUGCGUUGUAUUAGCUAGUUGGUGAGGUAACGGCUCACCAAGGCGACGAUACAUAGGGGGACUGAGAGGUUAACCCCCCACACUGGUACUGAGACACGGACCAGACUCCUACGGGAGGCAGCAGUGAGGAAUAUUGGUCAAUGGGCGGAAGCCUGAACCAGCCAUGCCGCGUGCAGGAAGACGGCUCUAUGAGUUGUAAACUGCUUUUGUACUAGGGUAAUUUGCGGUACGUGUACCGUAUUGAAAGUAUAGUACGAAUAAGGAUCGGCUAACUCCGUGCCAGCAGCCGCGGUAAUACGGAGGAUCCAAGCGUUAUCCGGAUUUAUUGGGUUUAAAGGGUGCGUAGGCGGCAGAUUAAGUUAGAGGUGAAAUUCCGAGGCUCAACCUUGGCACUGCCUCUGAUACUGGUUUGCUAGCGAGUAGAUGCUGUAGGCGGAAUGUGUGGUGUAGCGGUGAAAUGCAUAGAGAUCACACAGAACACCGAUUGCGAAGGCAGCUUACAAAUCUAUAUCGGACGCUGAGGCACGAAAGCGUGGGGAGCAAACAGGAUUAGAUACCCUGGUAGUCCACGCAGUAAACGAUGAUAACUCGUUGUCGGCGAUAUACAGUCGGUGACCAAGCGAAAGCGAUAAGUUAUCCACCUGGGGAGUACGUUCGCAAGAAUGAAACUCAAAGGAAUUGACGGGGGCCCGCACAAGCGGAGGAACAUGUGGUUUAAUUCGAAGCAACGCGAAGAACCUUACCAAGUCUUGACAUCCCUCUGACCGACUCUUAACCGAGUCUUUCCUUCGGGACAGAGGAGACAGGUGGUGCAUGGUUGUCGUCAGCUCGUGCCGUGAGGUGUCGGGUUAAGUCCCAUAACGAGCGCAACCCCUAUCGUUAGUUACCAGCACGUGAAGGUGGGGACUCUAACGAGACUGCCGGUGUAAGCCGAGAGGAGGGUGGGGAUGACGUCAAAUCAGCACGGCCCUUACGUCCGGGGCGACACACGUGUUACAAUGGUCGGUACAGAGGGCAGCUACCUGGUGACAGGAUGCGAAUCUCGAAAGCCGGUCUCAGUUCGGAUUGGAGGCUGAAACUCGCCUCCAUGAAGUUGGAUUCGCUAGUAAUCGCGCAUCAGCCAUGGCGCGGUGAAUACGUUCCCGGGCCUUGUACACACCGCCCGUCAAGCCAUGGGAGUCGGGGGUGCCUGAAGUACGUUACCGCGAGGAGCGUCCUAGGGCAAAACUGAUGACUGGGGCU
rnacentral:rRNA from 1 species